GAUGAACGCUGGCGGCGUGCUUAACACAUGCAAGUCGAACGAGAAGUGAAGACGGAAACCUUCGGGCGGAAGGCUUUAUUUCGAGUGGCGGACGGGUGAGUAACGCGUGGGUAACCUGCCUCAUACAGGGGGAUAACAGUUGGAAACGACUGUUAAUACCGCAUAAGACCACAGCACCGCAUGGUGCGGGGGUAAAAACUCCGGUGGUAUGAGAUGGACCCGCGUUCGAUUAGCCAGUUGGCGGGGUAACGGCCCACCAAAGCGACGAUCGAUAGCCGAUCUGAGAGGAUGACCGGCCACAUUGGGACUGAGACACGGCCCAAACUCCUACGGGAGGCAGCAGUGGGGAAUAUUGCACAAUGGGGGAAACCCUGAUGCAGCGACGCCGCGUGAGUGAAGAAGUAUUUCGGUAUGUAAAGCUCUAUCAGCAGGGAAGAAAAUGACGGUACCUGGGGAAGAAGCCCCGGCUAACUACGUG
rnacentral:rRNA from 1 species